rnacentral:rRNA from 1 species
CCUACGGGGGGCUGCAGUGGGGAAUAUUGCACAAUGGGCGCAAGCCUGAUGCAGCCAUGCCGCGUGUGUGAAGAAGGCCUUCGGGUUGUAAAGCACUUUCAGCGGGGAGGAAGGCGGUGAGGUUAAUAACCUCAUCGAUUGACGUUACCCGCAGAAGAAGCACCGGCUAGCUCCGUGCCAGCAGCCGCGGUAAUACGGCGGGUGCAAGCGUUAAUCGGAAUUACUGGGCGUAAAGCGCACGCAGGCGGUCUGUCAAGUCGGAUGUGAAAUCCCCGGGCUCAACCUGGGAACUGCAUUCGAAACUGGCAGGCUAGAGUCUUGUAGAGGGGGGUAGAAUUCCAGGUGUAGCGGUGAAAUGCGUAGAGAUCUGGAGUAAUACCGGUGGCGAAGGCGGCCCCCUGGACAAAGACUGACGCUCAGGUGCGAAAGCGUGGGGAGCAAACAGGAUUAGAUACCCCAGUAGUC